rnacentral:lncRNA from 1 species
AGGGCGGCUGAUUACAACCUUGCAGGGGGGCCUUGUUGACUAAAUUGUUGUUGGCAUUAAGCAAGCAAAGAAGAAGAAGAAGAAGAACCUUGCAUGAAAUAGAUGUGUUUCGCAUGUCGCUUGAAUUCAACGUAUGUUUUCUGAACACAGACAUUCUUAUUCAACUUAUGUAAGACCGUUUCUGACACCUAUCCGUAUUUCGGUCCCGCCGGGGCUUCACGCGCCGAUUCGCCGCAGUCCAUGCAUGCAUAUAAUCAUAACGCAGCUGUAGGUACGCGCGGCGCAUGGGGG